rnacentral:rRNA from 1 species
GAUGAACGCUGGCGGCGUGCCUAAUACAUGCAAGUCGAACGGAUAGCGAAAGGUGCUUGCACCUUUCAAGUGGGUGGCGAACGGGGGAGCAACAGGGUGACAACCCGCCUCAAGGCGGGGGACAACAGGUGGAAACAGAUGCUACUACCGAAUAGAACUUACUGUCGGAUGACGCAAGGAUAGAUGGCGCUGCGGCGUCACCUAGAGAGGGAUCCGCGGUGGUUGAGGUAGUUGGGGGGUUCAAAGCCUACCAAGACGAUGAUGCAUAACCGAGUUGAGAGACGGAUCGGCCACAUUGGGACUGAGACACGGCCCAUACUCCUACGGGAGGCCGCAGUAGGGAAUCUUCGACAAUGGGCGAAAGCCUGAUGGAGCAAGGCCGCGUGUGUGAUGAAGGCUUUCGGGUCGUAAAGCACUGUUGUAUGGGAAGAACAGCUAGAAUAUGAAAUGAUUCUAGUUUGACGGUACCAGACCAGAAAGCAACGGCUAAAUACGUG